rnacentral:tRNA from 1 species
GGCCGCGUCGUCAAGUGGUCUAAGACUGCAGUUUGCAAAACUGCCAUUCGUCGGUUCGAAUCCGACCGCGGCCUCCA